rnacentral:rRNA from 1 species
UUGGCGGACGGGUGAGUAACGCGUGAGAAUCUGCCUUCAGGAUGGGGACAACAGUGAGAAAUCGCUGCUAAAACCCAAUGUGCCGAGAGGUGAAAUACUUGUAGCCUGAAGAGGAGCUCGCGUCCGAUUAGUUAGUUGGUGGGGUAAAGGCCUACCAAGGCAGCGAUCGGUAGCUGGUCUGAGAGGAUGAGCAGCCACACUGGGACUGAGACACGGCCCAG